AAAGUUAUCUCAACUCUAAGAAAUACUUGUAUAAAAUGAAUUGAAAAAAAAAUACAAAAAGAAAUGGUAAUGGGAGAAUUUUUCCUAUAUAUACAAAUCCAAAUCGGGCGGAUCUUUACCCGGAGUAGAGCAUAAACCUAAAAAGAUGAAACAGACCCAUUCAGGAACAAGAAAAUACCAUCGCGGUUUGGAUUAAAUCUCGAUGAAGAAUACAUCAAUGAAAAGUUAAUUCAAUAAGUUUAAUGACC
rnacentral:lncRNA from 1 species